rnacentral:rRNA from 1 species
CCUACGGGUGGCAGCAGUGAGGAAUAUUGGUCAAUGGACGAGAGUCUGAACCAGCCACGUAGCGUGAAGGAUGACUGCCCUAUGGGUUGUAAACUUCUUUUAUAAAGGAAUAAAACGAGGCACGUGUGCCUUUUUGCAUGUACUUUAUGAAUAAGGAUCGGCUAACUCCGCGCCAGCAGCCGCGGGAAUACGGAGGAUCCGAGCGUUAUCCGGAUUUAUUGGGUUUAAAGGGAGCGUAGAUGGGUUGUUAAGUCAGUUGUGAAAGUUUGCGGCUCAACCGUAAAAUUGCAAUUGAUACUGGCAGUCUUGAGGACAGUUGAGGUAGGCGGAAUUCGUGGUGUAGCGGUGAAAUGCUUAGAUAUCACGAAGAACACCGAUUGCGAAGGCGGCUUACUAGACUAUGACUGACAUUGAGGCUCGAAAGUGUGGGUAGCAAACAGGAUUAGAUACCCCGGUAGUC